CCUCCAAAAUGGCCACUGCACAGAUCUUUGUAGGCCCGAACAGGCCUGAAAAUCAGCCUGGGACAGGCUGUGGCAGUGAUCUAAGAGGCCGGCAGGGGAAGGGGGAACUUUUGCAGACACCCCCCCCCCCCGGCGGCCUUUAGGAAGCCCCCCGAAGGGGCUACAGGAACAGGGGACAGAAGUACUUUCCUUUGCACCCUAGAAGCACCCAGCAGCAGCAUGCCCAGCAGUUUAUUUAAGAGGAUGAAGGGAAAGAAGGUCUGAAGAGAGAGUCUAUCAAGGCAGCCUCCUGAAGGCUUUGAGGAAUAAAUGGGCUCCUGGAAGUUUCUGUGAACUGAGAGCAAUGGAGGAUAAACUAAUGCAGUGGCAUCAUUAAGCUGUAAUUUUAGCUGUCAGGCUUGCAGUGUUGGUUGGAGUUCUUGUGAUACUGUGCAAAUACCAGCUCUCUCCCUCUCCUUCUCAUUAUUUCCAACACCGAACUUGGCCAGAGACAAAGUGGACACAUUGGAUGCAUGGAGUGAAGAGAGACUAAAAGAGCUGCUGCCAAGCAUCACAGAGGAGAGGCCAGCCCACGUGGCCUCCCCUCCACCCACACUGCCUCCCACGCUGUGGUGCAAUAGCUGAAGCCUCAGGCCAGUGAUGAGGGGGAAGAAGAGCAGGCCGUUUCUGGGCUAGCAAAGGAGGUGAGGCUGGGUAAGUGCCAAGAGAGAAUAAGACCGAGAUGGGGCGGUGGCAGUGCAGAUAAGGCAGGGAUUGUGGCAGCAGGUAAGCAAGGUGAAGCCCAUGGUGGCGAGCAGGGUGGGAUGGUUAUAUUCACCGCUCCUUGACUCACUUGCCACUUGAAACCAUCACCUCACCUGGCCUCAGGGAGGAGAAGCCCCUAUCUGAGCCACAAAUUAAGUACCAUCUGAAGUUUUUUGGAAUAAAUAUUCACGGCAUAUAAUAAUUAACUUACAAAUUGUCCCUCGCAUAGCAAAAAUACAAAAUUGAGAUAUUUCUCCAUGUAUCUAGCAUGUAUUUCACUUUACAAUGUGCUACAGUUCAAACGUGAACAACAAUCCAGGGAACAUUAAAUAAUAAAAUCCUG